ACAUGCAAGUCGAACGAUGAUGCCCAGCUUGCUGGGUGGAUUAGUGGCGAACGGGUGAGUAACACGUGAGUAACCUGCCCCUGACUCUGGGAUAAGCGUUGGAAACGACGUCUAAUACUGGAUAUGAUCACUGGCCGCAUGGUCUGGUGGUGGAAAGAUUUUUUGGUUGGGGAUGGACUCGCGGCCUAUCAGCUUGUUGGUGAGGUAAUGGCUCACCAAGGCGACGACGGGUAGCCGGCCUGAGAGGGUGACCGGCCACACUGGGACUGAGACACGGCCCAGACUCCUACGGGAGGCAGCAGUGGGGAAUAUUGCACAAUGGGCGAAAGCCUGAUGCAGCAACGCCGCGUGAGGGAUGACGGCCUUCGGGUUGUAAACCUCUUUUAGUAGGGAAGAAGCGAGAGUGACGGUACCUGCAGAAAAAGCACCGGCUAACUACGUGCCAGCAGCCGCGGUAAUACGUAGGGUGCAAGCGUUGUCCGGAAUUAUUGGGCGUAAAGAGCUCGUAGGCGGUUUGUCGCGUCUGCUGUGAAAUCCCGAGGCUCAACCUCGGGCUUGCAGUGGGUACGGGCAGACUAGAGUGCGGUAGGGGAGAUUGGAAUUCCUGGUGUAGCGGUGGAAUGCGCAGAUAUCAGGAGGAACACCGAUGGCGAAGGCAGAUCUCUGGGCCGUAACUGACGCUGAGGAGCGAAAGCAUGGGGAGCGAACAGGAUUAGAUACCCUGGUAGUCCAUGCCGUAAACGUUGGGCGCUAGAUGUAGGGACCUUUCCACGGUUUCUGUGUCGUAGCUAACGCAUUAAGCGCCCCGCCUGGGGAGUACGGCCGCAAGGCUAAAACUCAAAGGAAUUGACGGGGGCCCGCACAAGCGGCGGAGCAUGCGGAUUAAUUCGAUGCAACGCGAAGAACCUUACCAAGGCUUGACAUACACCGGAAACGGCCAGAGAUGGUCGCCCCCUUGUGGUCGGUGUACAGGUGGUGCAUGGUUGUCGUCAGCUCGUGUCGUGAGAUGUUGGGUUAAGUCCCGCAACGAGCGCAACCCUCGUUCUAUGUUGCCAGCGGGUUAUGCCGGGGACUCAUAGGAGACUGCCGGGGUCAACUCGGAGGAAGGUGGGGAUGACGUCAAAUCAUCAUGCCCCUUAUGUCUUGGGCUUCACGCAUGCUACAAUGGCCGGUACAAAGGGCUGCGAUACCGUAAGGUGGAGCGAAUCCCAAAAAGCCGGUCUCAGUUCGGAUUGAGGUCUGCAACUCGACCUCAUGAAGUCGGAGUCGCUAGUAAUCGCAGAUCAGCAACGCUGCGGUGAAUACGUUCCCGGGCCUUGUACACACCGCCCGUCAAGUCAUGAAAGUCGGUAACACCCGAAGCCGGUGGCCUAACCC
rnacentral:rRNA from 1 species